AUGGCGGCCUUGCUACUUCCGCAUUCCGUGGUUCAUGCUCUGGACGGCCUCUGUCGCUCCUUCCUCGGGAACGUCGCAGAGCGGGCCACGGGUGCUCAAUGCAUGGUUGUGUGGGAGCGGGUGUACCGGGCCAAGUGUGAAGGUGGCCUGGGCGUGCGUGACCUUGCUACUCAGAAUGAGUGCCUCCUGCUGAAGUUGAUCCAUCGCCUGCACAUGGCACCUCAGUCGCGGUGGGCCGCCUGGAUUUGGGGCGGCGCGAAUGGUCACUCUCUCUUGUCUCGCAGCGAGUUGGACCUUGGCGAACACCGAUCCUCCAUCGUGAAGCUGCUCCCCCUCUACCACGCGAUCUCCAUGGUGGAGGUUGGGGAUGGGAGGUCUUGUUCUUUCUGGUGGGACUGCUGGCUCUCUUGCGGGGUUGUCGCGGUGGCUUUCCCCGCCCUCUUCUCCCACGCCUUUGAUGUGGAGGUUACCGUCUGGCAAGUGCGCGAACGCGGCAUUGCUAGUUUCCUGGUGCCCCGGUUGACAAGGGUGGGCGAACGCGAGCUCCUGGAAGUUUCUGCUUUCAUGGAUGCGGUGCUUGUCGGGGUUGGGGCGGAUGUGAGGCGGCUCCGCCAUGCCGCCGCGCCUCGUGGCGUCCUGUCCUCCAGCUCCGCGUACAGUCUCCUGCGAUUCGGAGGUGUGCGCGCUGGCUUUGCCACCAUGGUCUGGGGGGCGCGAGCCCCAUCGCGCGCGAAGUUCUUCUGCUGGCUGCUGGUUCAGAGGCGUAUCCACACUCGGGAUGUCCUGCUCUGGAAGUGCAUCGUCUCCGCUGAGGAUGCCGGCUGCCUGCGCUGCUGUGCGACACAGGAAACCGCUGAUCACAUGCUCUUCGCAUGCCCGUUUGUGGCUGAUUUCUGGCGAAGGGUCAGUGUUGACGUCAGUGGCACUGGCAUCACGGUGUGCAGGUUGGCUGCUCUUGCCACCGCGGCGGCCGUCGUCGUCGAAUCUGAAGUAGAGUUCGCCAUGCUGUGUUGCUGGCAGCUCUGGAAACACCGUAACGGGAGCGUCUUUCAGAGACAACAACCGUCUAUUACUCGUGUGUUCGGAUGCGCCCGGGAGGACGCCGUUCUAUGGCGUGGACGGCUACAAGAAGCCCAUAGACCGCAUCAACAGAUUCAGUUAACCAUCACCUCAUUUACCCACAGGGCACCAACACAUGGGUACCUUCCAGAUUUUAGCAAGAUCAUAUUACAACAGGUUUACACAGCUUACAACCUGCAGGAUGAAGCUGUCUUGUUGCUUCUCUUCAAGGGCUUUACAAUAUUCCGUGACCCGGCCGACAAGGCAGCAGCCAACUCCUGGCUGCUGUUCCUUUCCGCACGGCUCGCCGUGACCCUGUAA
rnacentral:rRNA from 1 species